rnacentral:lncRNA from 1 species
AAAAGGAGAGAAGUUGGGAGGAGACACAGGUUCUGUGGAGGAGUUGAUGAGUUUCCUUUUGGAUGUGUUGAAUUUGAAAAACCAGAGCAACAUCCCUAUGGAUAUAUCCAGAGUGCAGUUGAAAAAUCAAGCCUGGAAAGUAAUGGAGAAUUGGGUCCAGAUAUGUGGCUUUGGCCUCUAUCUACAUAGAGGUGAUAACUGAAGCCUUGGGAUUAGAUGAGAGUGUUAAAAGAGGGGUUGUAGAGAGAGAAGAAAAGACGGCCAAGAAUAAUGCCAUGGGGGACAGCCAUACUAAAAUACAGGUAGAAGAAGAUGAUCUAGUAAAGAAGACAUCGAAUGGGAAAACUGGGAAGAUAAAAGGAAACCCAGGAAAGAACAGAAGUAGAGGCAAAAGAGGAUCAAGAAGGAGGGAGUGGCAGAUAGAAUUGAACGUGGCAGAAAGGUCGAGAAGGGUAAAGAUUGGAGGAAAAAAAGAUCAAUAGAUUUGGCAAUUAAAAGUUUUAUUAGUAUGUUGGGGCUGAUGCCAGGCCUUAAGCAGUUGAAGAGAGAGUGGGGGAUAAAAAAAGCAGAGUAAUGGGAUAUAAGCCAAUUUUUUAAAGUUCUGCAUUAAAAGGGAGGAGAAAAAUGAGAUCACAGUGGCAGUGAGUAGUAGUGCAAAAGGAAAACUUUUUUUUUAGGUUUGAGCAUGUGAAUGUGUUUUAUAGGUUUUCAUGCCUCAGUUCAACAAACAUGCUUUAUCACAGAAGUGUGGAGGGGGGAUGGGAAUCGUCAAGAGAUUACCCCACCAACACAUGAUCCAGGCCAGCCUGGUACCAUCCUGCACCUGCAGCUGUACCUGUAUCAGCAACCAGUGGACCCAGAGUGCCUAAGGAAUGUCCCAGAGUGGAUGGCUCCUUCCCCUCAGUGCCAGCCAGCAGCACAUGUCUUUGUUCAGUUCUUUUGUUGACUGUCUCACAGAGAAAGGAAAAUAUGUUUUAAUUUCAGGUGGUGCUGGAGAACAGCCCAAUACUGAGAAAGAGAUUUUCCUUCAAGGCAGCCUUUUCUGUUACUAUUUGCAUCAUGAGGCCCGUGGAGCACCUAAGGC